rnacentral:rRNA from 1 species
GCCCGCUCAGAAACUCAAAGGAAGUUGACGGGGCCCGCACAAGCGGUGGAGUAUGUGGUUUAAUUCGAUGCAACGCGGAGAACCUUACCUGGUCUUGACAUCCCGGAGACCCUUAGGAAACUAGGGGGUGCUUCCAUCUGGAAGAAUCUGGAGACAGGUGCUGCAUGGCUGUCGUCAGCUCGUGUCGUGAGAUGUUGGGUUAAGUCCCGCAACGAGCGCAACCCUUGCCUUUAGUUGCCAGCAGUUCGGCUGGGCACUCUAAAGGGACUGCCGGUGUUAAACCGGAGGAAGGUGGGGAUGACGUCAAGUCCUCAUGGCCUUUAUGACCAGGGCUACACACGUACUACAAUGGCCGAUACAAAGGGCAGCGACACUGCGAGGUGAAGCCAAUCCCGUAAAAUCGGUCUCAGUCCGGAUUGGAGUCUGCAACUCGACUCCAUGAAGUUGGAAUCGCUAGUAAUCGUGGAUCAGCAUGCCACGGUGAAUACGUUCCCGGGCCUU